rnacentral:rRNA from 1 species
AAUAGAUACCCUGGUAGUCCUGGCCGUAAACGAUGACCACUCGAUGUACGAGGUAUCGACCCCUUGUGCGUCGCAAGCUAACGCGAUAAGUGGUCCGCCUGGGGAGUACGGUCGCAAGAUUAAAACUCAAAGGAAUUGACGGGGACCCGCACAAGCAGCGGAGCGUGUGGUUUAAUUCGAUGCAACGCGAAGAACCUUACCAGGACUUGACAUGCUCUUGCACCACCCGUAACGGGGUGUGCCCGCAAGGGACAGGAGCACAGGUGCUGCAUGGCUGUCGUCAGCUCGUGUCGUGAGAUGUUGGGUUAAGUCCCGCAACGAGCGCAACCCCCGAUGGUUAGUUGUACUUGUCUAACCAGACUGCCACUCUCAAAGUGGAGGAAGGUGGGGAUGACGUCAAGUCAGCACGGCCCUUACGUUCUGGGCGACACACACGCUACAAUGGCCGGGACAACGAGUCGCCAACCCGGCAGGGGGAGCCAAUCUCAGCAAACCCGGUCUCAGUUCAGAUUGUAGGCUGCAACCCG